GACGAACGCUGGCGGCGUGCUUAACACAUGCAAGUCGAACGGAAAGGCCCUGCUUUUGUGGGGUGCUCGAGUGGCGAACGGGUGAGUAACACGUGAGUAACCUGCCCUUGACUUUGGGAUAACCUCAGGAAACUGGGGCUAAUACCGGAUAGGAGCUCCUGCUGCAUGGUGGGGGUUGGAAAGUUUCGGCGGUUGGGGAUGGACUCGCGGCUUAUCAGCUUGUUGGUGGGGUAGUGGCUUACCAAGGCUUUGACGGGUAGCCGGCCUGAGAGGGUGACCGGCGACAUUGGGACUGAGAUACGGCCCAGACUCCUACGGGAGGCAGCAGUGGGGAAUAUUGCACAAUGGGCGGAAGCGUGAUGCAGCAACGCCGCGUGCGGGAUGACGGCCUUCGGGUUGUAAACCGCUUUCGCCUGUGACGAAGCGUGAGUGACGGUAAUGGGUAAAGAAGCACCGGCUAACUACGUG
rnacentral:rRNA from 1 species